UAUUAAAUCGCUCACCGAUCUCUCCGACCCGUUGUAGUAUAAACGAAGUGAACUGACAAUAGAUCUCUUCUUACCAGUUUUAUUGCCAAUCUCUCUUUCAAAAGUUUAAGAAUGAUUAAAGGUUCCAUACCGGUUUAAUGAUGACCCCGAUCCUAAGUGUUUAAGCCGAUUUUGACCAAGUCCCAUUUACCGAUCUCAUGCUUAUUGUGCU
rnacentral:misc_RNA from 1 species